AUGAGCGCUAGCGACAGGCCUAACACAUGCAAGUCGAGGGGCAGCGCGGGAGAAGCUUGCUUUCCUGGCGGCGACCGGCGCACGGGUGCGUAACAGGUGUGCAAUCUGUCCAUAGUCGGGGGAUAGCCCAGCGAAAGCUGAAUUAACACUCCAUGUGAAUCGAAGCCGCAUGACUUUGAUUUGAAACGCAAGGACUAUGGGUGAGCACGCUUCUGAUUAGGUAGUUGGUGGGGUAACGGCCCACCAAGCCGACGAUCAGUAGGGGUUCUGAGAGGAAGGUCCCCCACAUUGGAACUGAGACACGGUCCAAACUCCUACGGGAGGCAGCAGUGAGGAAUAUUGGUCAAUGGGCGAGAGCCUGAACCAGCCAAGUCGCGUGAAAGGAUGAAGGUUCUAUGGAUUGUAAACUUCUUUUGUCCGAGGGUAAAAAAGGCCACGUGUGGCUUCAUGCAAGUAUCGGACGAAUAAGCAUCGGCUAACUCCGUGCCAGCCGCUGC
rnacentral:rRNA from 1 species